AUAAUAAUAACUAGAUUGCAGUUCCUGCAGAAACUGCGAGUGUGAUUGCAGUGCUGGCUGGUGCUAAGGUGUUGCUAAGGUGUUGCUAUGGUAUCCGGGGUGGUUGCUAAGAUGUUGCUAGGUGGUUGCUAAGGUGUUGCUAUGGUAUCUGGGGUGGUUGCUAAGGUGUUGCUAGGUGAUUACUAGGUGGUUGCUAAGGUGUUGCUAGGCGGUUGCUAAGGUGUUGCUAGGCGGUUGCUAAGGUGUUGCUAUGGUAUUUGGGGUGGUUGCUAAGGUGUUGCUAGGUUGUUGCUAGGCGGUUGCUAAGGUGUUGCUAGGCGGUUGCUAAGGUG